rnacentral:lncRNA from 1 species
GUACGGAGAGGUCCGUACCAGAAAACGGCACCAUUUCCAGGGUUUUUAUUGGCUCAGUGGGAUGGUCACGUGACCAUCCUUUCAAGCCACGCAGUGGUGGAUAGGCCCCGAAAUUUCAGCAGCCGCCGUCGCAUUUGAAUCGGCAAUUGUUUUUUUUUCCUCGUUUGUUGUCAUUUUCGUUUUUAAUGGCGGCCUGCUGUCAUUUAAAAUGAAUAAAUAUAUUACUUUUAGAAAAGGGCCGACCUCUCGUGAAGAGAACGAUGGAAUUUAUAGAUUCGGCUGGGAAACUUGUCGAGAAAGCUUUUUUGCUUUUUUAGAUAAACUGACACGAGAGUUUGGUACCUUCUCAAACAGGCAUAAUUUCAAUCUAAUUAAUUGUAUCUGAGAUUUUUUUACCAGAUUUUUUUACUAACAGGGAGCCCUCACUUUUGCCGUAGCAAAACUGUUGGCAACUGGUCUUGUAAAUCUGAACAGGGUAGAAGUUCUUUAGCAUCCUGUAACAAAUCACCUGCUGGAAGUCAUCAUCCACACCCAUACUGCCCUCUUCGCUUUAUUGUUUUCGAUGAGUGACAAAACAGAGACAAAAGAAUGCUGCGUGAAUGGAUUCUGUCACUGUCCAUGGUAUAGGCUGUUGUAUUCUCGUAAUAUAAUUGAGGUGUUAAUCGAACUGACCCCAUGGGAAUCUUUCAACCCCUAAUGGAUUCUUAAAAGGUUCGUCGUUUGCUCGUAAGCCAGUUUGAAUGGCAGGUGAAGGCCAGUGUCAAAAAAAAAAUAAUCGACUAACUUUUCGUUUUUAUGGCAUAGCAGUCUUGGUCCUGGUCUUGGUCUUGGUUGGUUUUUUUUAUCAGAUAACGGAAAUCCUCAGAUUAAUUAUUUAUUACCUCCAUUGGCUGCUGCCAUCGAGGAUGCGUUCGUCAGAUUGGCUGGUGAUGGUGAUAUCAGCGUAUUUGUUAUCCUUGUUGUAGCUGGGAGUAGAGUAAGCUGGUGCAGGUUAGCUAGUAGUAGGGUACUUUGGUGCAGGGAAGUUUGGGGUAGUAGUGAUAUAUCAAAUCUAUAAAUAUCUAUAAAUAUCUCAACCCCUGUAUAUGCUGUACAUGCAAAGUAACAUGUGCAAAUUCGAGCGCGUGUCCGUCCUGGUGUCGAAGACGUUUCAUCAUUUUUAUGUAUAGCUCGGGACAAAGAUCGGCAUUAACUCACGAUUUCUUCAUGUUGAUUUAUUCAUAUCAGCUCCUCGCGUAUUUCAUUCUUUUUUCAUAUUUGAAUUGGUUAAACAUAGCGGUAAUCUCCUCCUAUAAACCACUUUAAACGUUUAGCAUUAAUUGAUGUUUUAAAGUUGAUUUUUUUGGGCGUUAUUGGCUAACAUCGUUUUCUUUUGUUGUUGUGGCUCUCCCGCAUCUAUUCGGCCGAUCCAAACUAAUACACAACGCCAGUUUUAUUUCGAAAGUGACGAGACCGAUGUGCCUUGUGCCACAUUUCACUCAACUUUUCUUUCUGGUUUUUCCAGCUGCGAUAACUAUAUAAUAGAGUCUGUGAUUACUUAAUGCGUCCGCGUUCUAUAUACCACAGCCGUUGGGCCGGUAUUCGUCCAGCUCAACAUCCAUUUCAAUUACAGCCAACAGGUGUGCGCCAUUAUCGAUUUUUCAUUAUACACUUCAUUAACAGAUUUAUUUGUGUUUCUAUACACGCUCCAAGUUGGGUUAACCUAAAUAAAAAAUGUCAUCGUA